rnacentral:piRNA from 1 species
GNGGCAGGCCACUAGCUUGACUUGAGCUC